GUAAGGAAUAUUGGACAAUGGACGCAAGUCUGAUCCAGCCAUGCCGCGUGAAGGAUUAAGGUCCUCUGGAUUGUAAACUUCUUUUAUAAGGGACGAAAAAAGGCUUUUCUAAGUCGUCUGACGGUACCUUAUGAAUAAGCACCGGCUAACUCCGUGCCAGCAGCCGCGGUAAUACGGAGGGUGCAAGCGUUAUCCGGAUUCACUGGGUUUAAAGGGUGCGUAGGCGGGCAGGUAAGUCAGUGGUGAAAUCCUAGAGCUUAACUCUAGAACUGCCAUUGAUACUAUCUGUCUUGAAUAUUGUGGAGGUAAGCGGAAUAUGUCAUGUAGCGGUGAAAUGCUUAGAUAUGACAUAGAACACCAAUUGCGAAGGCAGCUUACUACGCAUAUAUUGACGCUGAGGCACGAAAGCGUGGGGAUCAAACAGGAUUAGAAACCCGGGUAGUCC
rnacentral:rRNA from 1 species